AGAGACUCUUCCUCCACAGUCCUCACCUCAUGUUGAUCCUCUGCAGGCCGAUCCUCAGGAAACACAUAAUGUUCUGCAGAAACAAGCCCCAACGUCAAGGGGUCAGAGUUCAAAGCGGGGCUCCACUCACCAGGAUGUCGACAUACGUUGCAGUGAGCAACCUUCUUCACCACUCCCUCAAGCACGCCUGCAUUCUCCACCUUCCACUGGAUGAACCUGAGGUGAUUGGAGAAAGAUCCCAUACCUUAGGAAUAUAAUCACAGCCAAGAAAGAUGGCCAGACCGAC